GCCGUGGUAGCUCAGUGGUAGAGUGUACUAGUAGAGAAUCAACUACCGGGGGUUCGAGCCCACCGUAAGGCG